GUGAGGCCUCCUGCUCUCGUGCGAGAGCGAGAACUACCAGACGGCAAAAGCCACCCACGACUCCCUCACCCUGGCUAGGGUUCCUAGCCCCUCCUCCUCAGCCGCCGUUGCGUGUUCACCUCGCCCGAGCGGCUUCCCGACCUCGUCGGGAGAGGCCAGCAGGACCCCGCCGUCAUGCCUCCGUUUCCCCCAUCUCCUCUUUUCUGCUACCUAUUUCUCUCCUGUGAACUGCGCGUCGUUCCUCUCUGCAGGUGCCGCCAUGGCCGCGUCAUGGAGCUCGCCGCCAUGGGCUGUGUGCCCCUCCGACGACGGCCUGCCUCACCCACGUCUAGAUCUACAAGAGAUCAAGAAGGGUGAUGUUCUGGAUGCUGAUCUCAACUAAUAGUUGCCAGAUGAACUAUGCAAUGACAGCAUGGAUGAGCUUUGUGUGCAGUUCACAUUUACUUCGUGGACCAUCACCAACCGGAUGGAGGUGAAGCAAGUGGGCAAGUCAGGGAAAUGCUCGGAAGGCUAUCGAGAAGAUCAACGAUCUUAACCCCACGAUCCUAAUUUUAGUUUGUACCUCGCUGUUGGGCUGUCAGAAAAGUUUGGAGGAGGAGCAAUGAUAUGACAAUUGUGGCUAACUUUAUUGUCAUUAGUGAUAUAUGUGCUAAUGGACCUUCGGGUUCUCCAUUAUGUUUACCGGCCGGUUUGUCAUCUGAAAAAUACCCGAUAGCAUAGUGGACAGUGCUUUUUUUGGUCAGAAGUAGUAUUUCUACAUGAAACUAAGUUAUAUAUGCGUAUGAGAAAUGUGGCUGAGAAAUGUGGCUUAUCUUUAGAUAAUGCUUUUUUUGGUUAGAAGUUGUUUUUCUACAUGAAACUAAGGUAUAGAUGCAUAUGAGAAAUUAGCUCUUUGCUUAACUGAAUAAAUUGUAUUUGCUCCUUUCAGCCGGAGCCUGGACGUGAUACGAUUUGUACAAUAUGGUUAGAAUAAGAUAUUGUUUGUAUACUGUUGAGUGAAGUAUUGUAUAACUACUGUAAAGUGGGUGUAGGUUUUUAUUGUGCAUUUUACACAGAUGUUCUGGCGCUUGGACACAACCAUAUGUACAAGUUGAAGCCUUCAUUUGGUUUUGACUUCUUAACUUGACUCAAAUUUUGACAUGCAGAUUCUAGGUAUGAAUUCUCUAUAAUACUUCCAUCUAGAAGCACAAAACUUGAUAGUGUUGAUGAAGGGUCGGAAAAAUACAUGAAGCUUUGAAAUUUUCGCAAGAAGAACUAGCACCAAGAGUCGAGUAAACGCAAGCAUUUCUUUAGGAAACAGAAAAAUCUGCAGCAACUAUUUGAUGUUUCUCGAUGCUUGAAGACAACAAGUGAAGUUGUUGCUACUAUCUUACAAGCCAAAGUCAUGAAAAAGUCGGGUGAUAAAGUGUUGGGAGACUACAAAGUUCAUGCUCUAUUCACACAUGGUGGAGGCAACCCAACAAGUUGUUACGGAACCAGCAGAUAAAGGAGUCGAGGAACCCGCAUCAUAGGAGAGUCAUCGAGGGGCAUCCUGAUAACGUGAGACACUACAUUUUAUAUAUAUGAUCAUAAUAUAUAACCAUAUUCUACAUACAAUGCACGCCGAGUAUUCUUUGUUGCACAUUCUUAAAUCUUUCACGUAAAUCUUCAUGCUCACUAUUGCUCGUGCAGGUUGGUUGUGAGCUGAAAAUGAAAAUUUUAUUUUACUUGUUGAAGUAGUGUGCGAACGAAGCUAAAGACCAUAUUCCCGGCGUUGUACAGGAAUAUCUCAAGCGUAGCAAGUAGAAUUUAGUUUGUAACAGAUAAUAAUUUGGAUCAUUGCCCAUUUUGUAUGUACAUCAUCAAAUUACAUUGCAUGUGAAGCGGAUUUCAAUUAUUUUCUAAUUGUUGUGGGUUAUCUUUUCUAUACAUGUAAGUUUUCACAUGCAUUAUAUAUUAUUUGGAAGGGGAACUACAAAAUUACUCUUGGCUGAACUAUAUGCAUUAUAUUUAUAUGUGUAAUCAGAAAACAAAGGCCCGUGGCAACGCACAGGCUUUCUACUUGGCAUGCCGUGAGUUUCUUUUUGCGGUAGCUAAUCCUGGCAUGCAAUCAAUGAUAAGUUCUUUAUUUAAUUAAUACAAUAAUUUAAUUCUUUAGUAAGUCUUGAUUUUUUACAUCUAUUCUCAUUUAUUAACACGUGUGCAUUUGAUGGAAAAAGGAAAGAGAUCUGCACCAUACAACAAUAUAUGGUAGAACUAGAAUAAUCCAUGAUCUGCUACCUAGUUAUCCUCCGCAUGGUCUACCUAUAUAUGUUCGUAGAACAGUUUUACGAGGCAUUACAAACCAAUGGGUAAGCACUUGUUACAUUGGUUUGUUUAUUUGUUUCAUCAAGACACUAUUCGAAAGCAUUAUUUUAUAAUAUUAUAGCAUAUGAUGUGGACUAUUUAUGCUAAAUUAUCUGAAAUAUUGGACAUCAAAUGCAUUAUCAGACCAGUUCACCCAGGUAUUACAUUUUUAUACAUUAUAUUAUUAAUUUAUCUCAAAAUAUUAUAUCAAUUUAUAUAUAUACAUAUAAUUUCUAGGAUGAUAUGAAACACUUUCGACAAAAAAUAGCUGUCAUUUUGCUCGAUUCAGAGCUAAAUAAGCUAAUAGGAAGUCACAUAUACCAUCAACCUGACAAUGAAGAAACUUUAGCUAAUUCUGAUCUCGAGAUUUUGGAGAAUGCACCUGACGUAGUCAAAGACAAACAUCCUGCCCCAACCACCAUCAUGCCCACCGACCAACGUGAAUUACUUGCCGGCCUCUGCAACUUCAUCAUGUCGGUGGAUGAUGUCGGGUGUUUGGAUUAAGUACCAUGUAUCAAUAUUUAAUGUGUGCAUGUAUAUUAUUAUUAUUAUUACCAUCCAAUUAUAAGGAAGGAAUGGGUCCGGAGCUUGACACCCGAUUCAAUGGGCUUAACUCUUAAGAAACUUCAGUGCAUACUUAACAUGGAGCAGGCUAUGGACAAUGAUUGCUUCAACACCGCCGUGCGUAUACUGGCAUGUGACGAGGGAGUAUUGUUCACAGACCCUCCUAUACACUACAUGGAUCUAAGAUUUUGUUCCAUGAUGCUAGAGUCAACAAAAGGUCAGAAGUUUGGCUAGAAGGAAACUAUCCAGACGUUGGCAGCAUUAUUUGAUAGCUGGCAUAGGAUGGACAACAACAUCUCAUCAUGCAACAUGAUUCUAGGUAUGAAUUCUCUAUAAUACUUCCAUCUGGAAGCACAAAACCUGAUAGUGUUGAUGAAGGGUCGGAAGAAUACAUGAAGCUUUGAAAUUUUCUCAAGAAGAACUAGCACCAAGAGCCGAGUAAACGUAAGCUUUUCUUUAGGAAACAGAAAAAUCUGCAGCAAAUAUUUGAUGUUUCUCGAUGCUUGAAGACAACAAGUGAAGUUGUUGCUACCAUCUUACAAGCCAAAGUCAUGAAAAAGUCAGGUGAUAAAAUGUUGGGAGAUUACAAAAUUCAUGCUCUAUUCACACAUGGUGGAGGCAACCCAACAAGUUGUUAUGGGAGCCAGCAGAGAAAGGAGUCGAGGAACCCGCAUCAUGGGAGAGUCAUCCAGGGGCAUCUGGAUAAAGUUAGGCACUACAUUGUAUAUAUAUGGUUGGUUAUGAGCUGAAAAUGUAGAUUCUAUUGUCCUUUUUGAAGUAGCGUGCGAACGAAGCUAAAGACCAUAUUCCUGGCGUUGUACGGGAAUAUCUCAAGCGUAGCAAGUAGAGUUUAGUUCGUAACAGAUAAUUAUUUGGAUCAUUGCCCGUUUUGUCUGUACAUCGUCAAAUGACAUUGCAAGUGAAGCAGAUUUCAAUUAAUUUCCAAUUUUUGCGGGUUAUCUUUUCUAUACAUGUGUGCAUUUGAUGGAAAAAGGAAAGAGAUCGAUAGCAUACAACAAUAUAUGGUAGAACUAGAAUAAUCCAUGAUCUGCUACCCAGUUAUCCUUGGCAUGGCCUAUCUAUAUAUGUUCGUAGAGCAGUUUUAUGAGGCAUUAUAAACCGAUGGCGUAUGAUGUGGACUAUAUAUGCUAAAUUAUAUGGAAUAUUAGACAUCAAAUGCAUUAUCAGACCAGUUCACCCAGAGCUAAAUAAGCUAAAAGGAAGUUUCAUAUACCAUCAACCUGACGAUGAAGAAACUUUAGCUAAUUCUGAUCUCGAGAUUUUGGAGAAUGCACUUGACGUAGUCAAAGACAAACGUGCUGCCCAGCCACCAUCAUGCCAUGCACCAACGUGAAUUACUUGCCGGCCUCUGCAACUACAUCAUGUCGGUGGAUGAUGUCGGGUGUUUGGAGAAGGAAUGGGUCCGGAGCUCGACACCCGAUCCAAUGGGCUUAACUCUUAAGAAACUUCAGUGCAUACUUAACAUGGAGCAGGCUAAGGACAAUGAUUGCUUCAACACCGCCGUGAGUAUACUGUCCAUGAUGCUAGAGUCAACAAGAGGUCAGAAAUUUUGCGAGAAGGAAACUAUCCAAACGUUGGCAACAUUAUUUGAUAGCUGGCAUGGGAUGGACAACAACAUCUCAUCGUGCAACAUGGAAUAUGUCUGGCUAUUUUGUUUUUAUUUUAUGCUCUAGUGGAACGGUACAGAAUUGGUCAAGCCGGUUUGCGCGUAUGGGUAUGAGUUGAGGAAGCAGUUUUUAUUAUACCUGCUAAAACACCGUGGGAAUGAAGCUAAAGACAAUUUCCAUGAUAUUGUUAAAGAAUUUCUUAAGCGCAUCUUCUAGAUAUUGAUAAUUUUGAAAUAGAUGUUUAGAUGGAACAUCACUCAGUUUGUUACAUGGA